AUACGGAGGGAGUAAGCGUUAUUCGGAAUCACUGGGCGUAAAGGACGCGUAGGCGGGUUUGUAAGUCAGGUGUGAAAUCCUACAGCUCAACUGUAGAACUGCACUUGAAACUACAGACCUAGAGUAUGGAAGGGGCAGAUGGAAUUAGUGGUGUAGGGGUAAAAUCCGUAGAUAUCACUAGGAAUACCGAAAGCGAAGGCGAUCUGCUGGGACAUUACUGACGCUGAGGCGUGAAAGCGUGGGGAGCAAACAGGAUUAGAAACCCUAGUAGUCC
rnacentral:rRNA from 1 species